rnacentral:rRNA from 1 species
GACCGUGCUAAGGUAGCAUAAUCAUUUGCCUCUUAAUUGGUGGCUAGUAUGAAUGGACACACGCAAGUACCCCUGUCUCAUUAGCACAUAUAAAAAUUACCAAUCAGGUGAAGAGGCCUGAAUACAAUAAAAAGACAAAAAGACCCUAUGGAGCUUUAUUUAACACCUCAAUACUACCAGCUCACACCACCCUACUUUGAGUAAAUAAAUUUAGUUGGGGCGACUAAGGAAAACUAUAAAUCUUCCUCAUAAAAAAGAAAAUAAAUCCUCAUUGAUCCGUUAUACGAAUAAAGACACAGCUACCCUAGGGAUAACAGGCUAAUUCUUCUCGAGAGCCCAAAUUGACAGAAGAGAUUGGCACCUC